UACAGAGGUCCCAAGCGUUGUUCGGAUUCACUGGGCGUAAAGGGUGCGUAGGCGGUCGGGUAAGUUUGAUGUGAAAUCUCUGGGCUUAACCCAGAAAUGGCAUUGAAUACUAUUCGGCUAGAGAGUCGGAGGGGGGACUGGAAUACUUGGUGUACCAGUGAAAUGCGUAGAUAUCAAGUGGAACACCAGUGGCGAAGGCGAGUCCCUGGACGAUUUCUGACGCUGAGGCACGAAAGCUAGGGGAGCAAACAGG
rnacentral:rRNA from 1 species